rnacentral:lncRNA from 1 species
UGCCAUUUUCUCAUCCACAAAGUGGUAUACUACUAGCACCAGCCUGUGUAGCUUAAGUGGGUAUUAUGCAAAAUAUUGAGAAUAAGUCCUGGUAGAAGAGUAGGUGCUGCACUUUUAUCUGUGUGAUUGUUAUUCCUUGCUCAUAAGAGUUUGAGGACAGAGGUUUGCACCAACCACACUACCAUCUCCCUUCUCUGCCUCUCUACCCAUCACGCAGCUGUGAGGACUGCAGCCCAGGGAGGUGAGUGGCAGUGCCCACGCCACUGCCUGGUCUUUUUCCUGGCUCAGCUUCUCCCACUCAUGCCUGGAGCCAUCUCACCCUCCACACACGCACCCUCAUCUCUGCCGCUCUCCCUCCGGAUCAGCUGAGAACGCUGAGUCAUCGAGUACCCCCCACCCCUCCGAGCCUGCAAUGUGUCAACAGCCAGCCCACCCGGGCUCAGCUCCCAGCCGCCUGAGUCAGCCCUGACUGAGCCUCUCCCCGGAUCCUGUCUCACCGGCCUUCCCCUCCAGCUCCAGGCCCUGCUCUUCAGGAUUCUCAUGAGGACAAAUUAGAGCACCUGUCACUAUAGCCAGCACUCAAGAAAUGGGAUUAUCAUCAGAGGGAAAAAUGCACAGCCUCACCAGCUAUUAAACAUAUGGAAAUGAUGACAAUUUAAAGCUUAUAAAUAACAUUAGCGGUGGCUUGGAUUUAUUGUUGUGGCCUCCGGAAGAACUUGGGCACAGUGUAACUUCCUGGGGCCCGAGGUUGUUAAUCGGUGAAUUGUUCAUGAAGGACAGUGCUCACUGUGAAGG